UACGAAGGGAGCUAGCGUUGUUCGGAAUCACUGGGCGUAAAGCGCACGUAGGCGGCUUGGCAAGUCGGAUGUGAAAUCCCUCGGCUCAACCAAGGAAGUGCAUCCGAAACUGCUGAGCUUGAGUACUUAAGAGGAUCGCGGAAUUCCCGGUGUAGAGGUGAAAUUCGUAGAUAUCGGGAGGAACACCAGUGGCGAAGGCGGCGAUCUGGGAAGAUACUGACGCUGAGGUGCGAAAGCGUGGGGAGCAAACAGG
rnacentral:rRNA from 1 species